AUGACACCGUAGAAAGCUCUUGAAACAAUUGAGAAAAUUUUGUGUGCUCAGUAUGAAAGGUGGCGACCAAGGGUGAGGAUAUUAUUGUCUUGUACAGAGUUCAUAUAAUAUUGUCUUAGAUUUAAUUUUAUUUACCUUUGAAGAUCUUUGAGCAGGGAUGAUAUAAGGUCCAGCCUGAUUCUACUGUGGAUGAAGUGAAGAAACUUUUUAAUACAUGUCACUGAUAUGCCAAGUCUGAGAGGGUCCUAUUUCAUUAUAAUGGCCAUGGUGUGCCUAAGCCGACUUCUAGUGGUGAAAUUCGGGUUUUCAAUAAGGUCUUCUAUUUCUUUGAAACUCUUUUAUGUGGUUUAAUUUAAGGUCAAUCACUAGAGUCUUGCUUGGUUUUUCACCAAUGUUAUUGGUACUACAGAGUUAUACAUAGUAUAUCCCUUUGCCAAUCAGUGACCUUGAUUCCUGGUUGAAGACACCCUCCAUAUAUGUUUUUGAUUGCUUUGCGGCUGGGAAUAUUGUGAAUGCUUUUAUUGAGCUCCUCUGGAUCCACAAGGGAUUGCAUUCUACUUGGAGCUUGUGAAGCACAUGAGACUCUUCCACAAAGUGUUGAAUUUCCUGCAGAUGUGUUUACGUCUUGUCUCACAACACCUAUUAAGAUGGCUUUGAGAUGGUUUUGCAGACGCUCAUUACUCCAUGAAUCUCUUGAUGAGUCACUAAUUAAUAAA